rnacentral:rRNA from 1 species
UACAGAGGUCUCAAGCGUUGUUCGGAUUCAUUGGGCGUAAAGGGUGCGUAGGCGGCGCGGUAAGUCGGGUGUGAAAUCUUGGAGCUUAACUCCGAAACUGCAUUCGAUACUGCCGUGCUUGAGGACUGGAGAGGAGACUGGAAUUUACGGUGUAGCGGUGAAAUGCGUAGAUAUCGAGAGGAACACCAGUGGCGAAGGCGAGUCUCUGGACGACACCUGACACUGAGGCACGAAAGCCAGGGGAGCAAACAGG